rnacentral:rRNA from 1 species
UACGUAGGGGGCAAGCGUUGUCCGGAAUCAUUGGGCGUAAAGAGCGUGUAGGCGGUCCGGUAAGUCGGCUGUGAAAGUCCAGGGCUCAACCCUGGGAUGCCGGUCGAUACUGCCGGACUAGAGUUCGGAAGAGGCGAGUGGAAUUCCCGGUGUAGCGGUGAAAUGCGCAGAUAUCGGGAGGAACACCUAUGGCGAAGGCAGCUCGCUGGGACGUUACUGACGCUGAGACGCGAAAGCGUUGGGAGCAAACAGG